rnacentral:lncRNA from 1 species
UUCAAAUUUAUACUUGAAAUUACAAUUUAAAUUUCAAUUCAAGUCUAUAAAAUUUAAUUUAUAAAAUUUAAAAUUUAAAAUUUAAAAAUAAAAUUUAAAUUAAAAAUUUAUUUAUCAAUUGCUUGAUUGAAUUUUAAUUUUACUUUAAGUUCAAAUUAAAAUAUAAAAUUAGAAAAUUAAUUUCUAAAUGUCAACUUAUAUUUUAACUUAAAAUUAAAGUUUAAAAAUUAAAUUUAAUUCCAAAUAAAAA